AUGAAAUAUUGCGCACCACCUUCUACAUUUCUGUUAAUUUCAGUGAUAUAUGCCUUUGAUGAUUUGUCAAGCUACAGAAACGCUACUCAAUCAACUACAACUAUCCCUCCGAGAAAUGACCCAAACAUUAAUGACGCAAAUAAUGCACUUGAUAAAGAUGUUAAAACUUGUACGAAGACCAAGGACAUUGGAAAAAACGCCAAUCAAGAAACUGUUUGGUGGAAAGUGGAUCUUAAUGACGUGUACAACAUUUACAGUAUUAGCAUUCUGUUUAGAAACUACAGUGAAUACGGUUGUUAUAACACCACAGUGUAUGGCAGUAACUGUGACAUUCCCUGUUCAAGCAAUUGUAGAGACAGACAAUGCCAAAUUCUAAAUGGAACCUGUUUUGCGUGUGACGCAGGGUGGAAAGGGAUAUCCUGUUUAUCAAAGUGUAGUGAAGGACGGUACGGUGAUAACUGUAGUCAGCAGUGUGUAGGGAAUUGCAGAGAAAACAGCACAUGUAAUCACGUGACUGGUCAGUGUGAUCAAGGGUGCGAUGCUGGAUGGACUGGACCACAGUGUAAAAAAGAAUGUGUGAACAGGACCUAUGGAUAUAAUUGUGUCAACAACUGUAGUGGUCACUGUCUGGACAACUAUCCAUGUAACAAACAGACUGGUCAUUGUGACGGGGGAUGUGAUGCAGGAUAUACAAACAGUGACUGUAGCAUAGGUGACAUUCAACAAAUAGAGCACACAUCUAAAUGUUUAGAGACUACUUUUGCCUUGCCUGAGAAAACCAAAAGAGGACCUCCAACCAGCAAGUAUAUGUCCGUCAGGAACAUCAAAGCCCAAGUUGCAAACAUGUCUGUUAAUGAGAACGCUGGAUUCAAGAGUGAAUAUCAAAUGAUCAUUCAAGAGUUGUUUUAG
rnacentral:sRNA from 1 species